rnacentral:rRNA from 1 species
UACGUAGGUGGCAAGCGUUGUCCGGAUUUACUGGGCGUAAAGGGCGUGCAGGCGGUCUGUUAAGUCUAGGGUGAAAGCUCCCGGCUCAACUGGGAGAGGUCCUUGGAUACUGGCGGACUUGAGGGAGGCAGAGGAGAAUGGAAUUCCCGGUGUAGCGGUGAAAUGCGCAGAUAUCGGGAGGAACACCGGUGGCGAAGGCGGAUCUCUGGGCCUGUCCUGACGCUCAGGCGCGAAAGCGUGGGGAGCGAUCCGGAUUAGAAA